UGGCUGCAAGAGGGGAUGCUGCAUUUCCACCUGGCUCUGGGCUGAACCUGGUGAGAAGGAGCCGAGCAGUGCAUUUUCCCGUGCCCUCUCUUAUAGCAAGCCCAGACGUAAGGAGAAUUUUGCAGGUCUCUGCUUUAAUUUGCUGUUACGUGAGAGCCCUGAAGGUUUGGAAGUGGUGGUGGUCGGACUGGGGGUGGUGAAGGAUGUGGCUUCUGCAAGCACAGGGCAGGAGCUGGUCUGGGACCAUGCAGAUGCUGAGCGAAAGUCUCGUCUCCUUUUAUUCAGCAGAGUAAAAACCCCAAACUCGGUAUUACUGGACAGAAGGAGGCUGCGGUGUAACCACCCAGUUGAUUUUUCAGGCUCUCUGCUGGGUGAGGAGCCCAUUUCUGCUCGCACCAGAGGCUGCACUGGAGCGGAAACCUCGGCGCUGCACUUAGAGUUUAGGAAGCUACUUUGGAAAAUUGGACAUCUGGCGUCGAUGAGGCUGCUGAAAACCUGCCAGCUUUUGGUAUGCAUCACAUGGGAAGCCCUCGCUGUGCUGCACAAGCUGAUAACAGCUCACACCCAAAUCUCUGCUCAUGUCCAACAGGAGCAGGAUGCUGACUGCUCCCUGCUCCGCUCCAGGCUGAGCAGCACUGAUGUGACCGGAGAGCCACAUCCAGCCCGGGGUUCAUCUUGGCUCAGCAUCUUCUUACCAGACCUGUCCCACUGGCACAUGAACAGUAGGUAUAAAUAAUUACAGCAGAGAAUAAUUACAGCUGUAGCACACUUGAAUGAACCAGCGACUUGUCGCCUGUUUCUCUCAGUGGUAGACAGGAACAGGGUAUAAUGGAUUAUUUGUCGCCGUGCUGCAAUUUUAAUACACGCAUGGGAAGCAGUUUGCAGGACACUGUUCCCCAUAGGAAGUGCUGUAUUGUUUCCAAGACUUAACUUUCCUCCGCUCCUCAUUUGCCAAAAUUAAAAAUAUCGAUCUCCUUGGGAAGCACGAGCCCUCUAACAGUGAUUGCUCUCAAACCCGCCGUCGAUACUGGGUCCAUUAAUGUAAUCGCGUUAUCACAGAGGUGAUAUUGUGUAUUAGGAGGCUGGAGGAGGGCAGGGAGUGGGAUUAAACACAUCAUCCAAUCAACCCUGAAGGUGUAAUUCAGUAUAAAUCAUUUUUUAAUCAACAGGAGGAUGUGUUAAAGUCAUUUGCUUGCGGUGUAUGUUUAUAGGGAGAAAAUGCAGGGAUAUUAAAGAAGAGUUUCUGUCGCUGGAUUUAUUUUUAAAUUGUUCUUUUUAUUGGCCCAUAGUACAAUAGGCAAACGAGAUGCUCUCAAAUAAAUGUUUGUCAUGUGAGAUGGAAACGUGCCUC
rnacentral:lncRNA from 1 species